ensembl:snRNA U6 U6 spliceosomal RNA
GUGCUCACUUCGGCAUCACAUAAACUAAAAUUGGAAUGAUACAGAGAAGAUUAGCAUGGCCCCUGUGCAAGGAUGACACACAAACAUGUGAAAUGUUCCAUUAUUUU